rnacentral:tRNA from 2 species
GGCUUGAUAGCUCAGAUGGUUAGAGCGGAGGACUCAUAAGCCUUAGGACGUUGGUUCAAAUCCAAUUCAAGCUA